CCGAAGCUGGGAAUGACAUCACACCCGAGAUGAAUGCAUUCCACUUACAAGUCGGAUUUUCAUUGUUUUCAUUAGCUCUAGCCAGGUUAGCCAUGGUUAGCAAUGCCAGUUUUACAACGCAUUGCGCAGUUUUUUUGUGUGCAUACAAACAGCGUAAAAACAUGUCCAAAGAUAGAAGAUGGAAAGCACUGUGUGUACGACAGAAUUUGUGAGACACAACAUAACAC